rnacentral:rRNA from 1 species
AUACGGAGGGUGCAAGCGUUACUCGGAAUCACUGGGCGUAAAGCGCGCGCAGGCGGGCUGAUAAGUUGGAUGUGAAAGCCUACGGCUCAACCGUAGAACUGCAUCCAAAACUGUCAGUCUAGAGUCUGGGAGGGGAAGAUGGAAUUAGUUGUGUAGGGGUAAAAUCCGUAGAGAUAACUAGGAAUACCAAAAGCGAAGGCAAUCUUCUGGAACACUACUGACGCUGAGGCGCGAAGGCGUGGGGAGCGAACAGGAUUAGAUACCCCAGUAGUCC